UGAGAUUACAGGUGUGAACCACCACGCCUGGUCCAAAAAGAAUUUUAAACCUGGGAAUUAUAUGAUCUAAUUUACUUCUUUAAAAAGUCACCCCUCCACUCCAUGGAAAAUGGACUGCAGGAGUAGAAGCCAGCAGACAGGUGGCACUGCAGGAAACCGGGGGACAUGAUGGUGGCUCAGAUUACAGGGGCUACUCAGCAAGAAGCGGAAGGACUUCAGAGAGAUUUGGAGGCAAAACCCACAGGCUUACUGAUGAAUGGAACCGGUGGAGGUGUGUGAUGCGAUACUCAAAGGCAAGUCUCAGUGUGGAGAUGGAACCGCUGCUCUGCUGAGAUGCAGAGGGCCAGGGAGGAGGCCAGCUUAGAAACAGCAUCGAAUGCGGCAGCUUAGUGAAUUGGAUAAGCCAGCAAGCUUGAGAUAGAUGUUUGGGGACAGCUGCUUGGAGAGCUUUGUCCAGGGGCGCGGCUCCCGUCCAUCUGGUCAAGUGUGGACACGCUCCCGCUGGGCUUGGGGCAGCUCCUAUCUAGGCAGCCUGUCCCAUGCUGACAUUGCAGACGUGGGAGCUACACAAAGAGAAUCUUGCAGUUUGUAGGUGAGCUACCUCCACAGGGGUUUUCUCAGAGACCAGAGUUUCAAGUGCAUCACGGCUGCCCAAAACUGCUGAGGUUGCAAGGCCCCAGAAGGAAGCCCUCCUGCACCCUCCCCUCCCACCUCCAGGGAGGAGCUGGCCUGGGAAGAAGUCUACUCUAUGUGGAAAGGCUUUCCAGGAAGCCAGUCCAACUUCAGGCCACUUAAGUUUAUUUUUUGUGUAAAAUAAGUCCAUUAUUCAAAUGUGGAGAUGGGAGGUCUGAAAAUAUAGGACAAUUCAACUCAAAGCCCUCAUUCUGAAAAUGAUGAGCUGGGGGGCCCAGCACGGCUAGGGUCAGCUCUGAUGAGCAGGGUCUGGCUGGAUUCAGAGCAAAUUAGGUCCCGCUGCUGCCCAGCCUACCACCUCGGGGAAGGCCAAGGGUUGGGGGGAGCCUUUUGUAUAAACAAGCAAUGAGAAGAAAACACUCACUAGAUCACAGUGCACUCCCAGGCGAUAAACGAAACCGGACUUUCCAAAGCCCUGGCGCUUUUGAUCAGGCACUGGCUGGAGUCCCCCUGGGAGGGCCCUUGGCUGUGCUAUCAGCAACCAGGCCUGACUGAGCAGUGACUCAGCCAGGAGAGCUGAGGCGAUCCCCCUGGCCAAUCCCAGGACCUAGCUGCACUCGGAAGAGGAGAAGGAACUCCAGGGAUGAGUAAUCUUGCUCUAGCUGACUGGAGGAGGAAGGAGGGGCUGAGUAAUGCCUUAGCAAAGCCAGCACAAGCAUCCUGAUUCUAGAGGCUCAGUUUCACAAUCCAGGAAAUGGGCUGCAGGUGCACAUGACACAGAUCUGCUUUGAGGAUGAAAAAGGCAUCAUGGGAAGCUGCUGUCACAGUUGUGGGGUUGGAAGAUUUUUCAAUUCUAAAACCCCAUAAGUUGAGGAGUGGCCAUUCCCAGAAGGAUCUGUUCACUGCUGAGCCCAGCUGGUGACAGUAGCUGUUGUAUCCCGAGAACUCUGAAGUUGUCCAGAUCAACCACCUACACAGGCCCAGAAUACCUGGGGCAAGUGUCUCUCGAGAAUGAAAAUGACCAGGCCAUCCUCACAUUCUACAGAGGUUAACCCAGCAACUUAGGGACACAGCUGGGGCAGGACUCCCGGGCUCCUGGUCAGUCCCUCUAUGGGGAUGCUAAGCCUCAGGGCUGACAUCUCUUAGCUCUGCCUUCCAGGGAGAAUUUCACAGGGCCUCCCAUUUGUGCUGCUGUGAAGGCCGUCCUGCUCCUUGUCAAGCCUGUCUUCUCCGUGGCUUGAGGAAGAUCUCUUUCGUGCCCAAAUUGUGAAUAAGUAAACUGGAUGCAGCAUCUCUGAUUGCUCUGGGAAGAAAUUUAUGAGAAGUGCCUGAGAAAAGUCAUGAUUUUAUGCCUCUGCUAAGCAACCUGUUGGACACUGCUUGGUAUCUACAGCUAAGUGGUUCCCUGUUCAGACCUGCUUCCUCUGAUUAGCAGCCACAGAUCUUCUGGGUUUUCACUUGUUUAUUUCUGUUUAUUGUCAUCUCUGGGAAGAUGGCUUCAAAUUUUUUAUCCCCCAAUUAUUUAACCCCAUAUCAAUUGAUAAGAAGAUCUUUUCUUUCUUUCUUUCUUUCUUUCUUUUCUUUUCUUUCUUUCUUCCUUUUUUUUUUUUUUUUUUUCGAGAUAGAGCCUCACUGUGUCACCCAGGCUGGAGUGCAGUGGGGUGAUCUUGGCUCACUGCAACCUCCACCUACCAGGUUCAAGCAAUCCUCCUGCCACAGCCUCCCAAGUAGCUGGGAUUACAGAUGAGUCCCACCACACCCAGCUAAUUUUUGUAUUUUUUUUUAUAGAGACAGGGUUUCGCCAUGUUGCUUAGGCUUGUCUGGAACUCCUGAGCUCAAAUGAUCUGCCUGCUUCGACCUCGCAAAGUGCGGGGAAGUUAUAAUUGAAGGGUGUGAUGGUUAAUUUUUGGUGUCAACUUGACUGGGUUAAGGGAUACCCAGAUAGCUGGUACAGCAUUGUCUCUGGGGAUGUCUUUGAGUGUGUUUCUGGUAGAGGUUGGCAUUUGGAUCAGUGAACUGAGUGAGGAAGGAAGAUUCAUCCUCACCUGUGUGGGCUGGGCUCCAUCCAAUCAGUUGAAUUCCUCAAUAGAACAAAAGGGCUGAGGAAAGGCAAAUUCACUCCCUUUUCUGAAGCUGGGACACCCUCCUUCUCCCGCGCUUGGACAUCAGCACUCCAGGGUCUCCAGCCGUCGGACUCCAGGACCUGCACCGAUGGCCCCUCAGGUUCUCAGGCCUUUGCACUCAGACUGAGCUAUGUCACCAGCUUCCCUGGUUCUCUAGCUUGUAGACAGCAAAUCAUAGGACUUCUCAGCCUCCAUAAUCAUGUGAGCCAAUUUCCAAAUUAAAUCCCCUCUCAUUUAUCUAUA